GUAGCUCAAUGGCAGAGCAUUUGCUUGGCAUGCAGAAGGUCCCAGCCCAGGUUCAAUUCCUGGUGCA
rnacentral:tRNA from 1 species